GACGAACGCUGGCGGCGUGCUUAACACAUGCAAGUCGAACGGAAAGGCCCUGCUUUUGUGGGGUGCUCGAGUGGCGAACGGGUGAGUAACACGUGAGUAACCUGCCCUUGACUUUGGGAUAACUUCAGGAAACUGGGGCUAAUACCGGAUAGGAGCUCCUGCUGCAUGGUGGGGGUUGGAAAGUUUCGGCGGUUGGGGAUGGACUCGCGGCUUAUCAGCUUGUUGGUGGGGUAGUGUCUUACCAAGGCUUUGACGGGUAGCCGGCCUGAGAGGGUGACCGGCCACAUUGGGACUGAGAUACGGCCCAGACUCCUACGGGAGGCAGCAGUGGGGAAUAUUGCACAAUGGGCGGAAGCCUGAUGCAGCAACGCCGCGUGCGGGAUGACGGCCUUCGGGUUGUAAACCGCUUUCGCCUGUGACGAAGCGUGAGUGACGGUAAUGGGUAAAGAAGCACGGGCUAAAUACGUG
rnacentral:rRNA from 1 species